GGGCGAUUCUCUUCUGCUUCUUCAACAUAAUCUCGAUGGUUGGAAUUUGCUCUGUAAUUUUGAAAGAGCUCUAUGAAUUGAUGGAGAAAAGAGGUAGCUGCAAGAAGUGUGAGGUUGAUAAGUGCAGGCAAGGUUAGGAGGAGAUCAUGUAGUGUGAGUUUUGGCAUGUUGAUGACUACAAUAGGAGAAUAAUCCAAGUGACAAGGAAGGGGAAGACAGACUUCAUAAAAAGAAUUGAGCAUGGAAGGAAG
rnacentral:misc_RNA from 1 species